CACAGAGGUCCCGAGCGUUGUUCGGAUUUAUUGGGCGUAAAGGGUGCGUAGGCGGCGGAGUAAGUUGGGUGUGAAAUCCCGGGGCUCAACCUCGGAAUGGCAUUCAAUACUGCUUCGCUCGAGUACUGGAGAGGAGGCUGGAAUUUACGGUGUAGCAGUGAAAUGCGUAGAUAUCGUAAGGAAGGCCGGUGGCGAAAGCGAGCCUCUGGACAGUUACUGACGCUGAUGCACGAAGGCCAGGGGAGCAAACGGG
rnacentral:rRNA from 1 species